AUUGAACGCUGGCGGCAGGCCUAACACAUGCAAGUCGAGCGGAUGACGGGAGCUUGCUCCUUGAUUCAGCGGCGGACGGGUGAGUAAUACCUAGGAAUCUGCCUGAUAGUGGGGGACAACGUUUCGAAAGGAACGCUAAUACCGCAUACGUCCUACGGGAGAAAGCAGGGGACCUUCGGGCCUUGCGCUAUCAGAUGGGCCUAGGUCGGAUUAGCUAGUUGGUGAGGUAAUGGCUCACCAAGGCGACGAUCCGUAACUAGUCUGAGAGGAUGAUCAGUCACACUGGAACUGAGACACGGUCCAGACUCCUACGGGAGGCAGCAGUGGGGUAUAUUGGACAAUGGGCGAAAGCCUGAUCCAGCCAUGCCGCGUGUGUGAAGAAGGUCUUCGGAUUGUAAAGCACUUUAAGUUGGGAGGAAGGGCAGUAAGCUAAUACCUUGCUGUUUUGACGUUACCGACAGAAUAAGCACCGGCUAACUCUGUGCCAGCCGCCGCCGUAAAAC
rnacentral:rRNA from 1 species